ACCUAGGUGGCUCAGUCAGUUGAGCAUCUGACUUCGACUCAGGUCAUGAUCACACAUUUGUGGGUUUGAGCCCCGUGUCAGGUU
rnacentral:tRNA from 1 species